rnacentral:lncRNA from 1 species
AAAUCCAACAUAUUCUUUAUGCCUUCAUCCUUUUCUAACUCCAACUCACUAACCACAAGUGCGACCGUCCCUAACGCAAGUGGCAAAGGGCUUGGUUGUUGGUACCCAAGGUCUCGAGUUUGAAUCCUAGUUGAUUCACAUUUCUAGCUAAAUUUAUUUUUAAAUAAAAUAAACGAAACGGUGAAUGUGCUACCUAUCUCUAAAAAAAAAAACUCUCUAACCACAAGUACUUUAGUUGGAGAUUCAACUCAUUAUAUCACGGAUGUAGCUAUUAGUAGAUACAAAGGGGCCAUGACCCCCCUCAAUUUUUUAAUAUUUACUUUAAAGUCCUUUGCUAAUUUAUAAAUUUUUAGUUAAUUUUUAAAAUAUACGGGCCUAUCUUGUAAAAAGCUUUUAGUGCUGCUAUAGAGCUCUCUCUUUUCUUAUAUAUUUUAUAGGUAAAAAUACGCUAAGAACCUCUUCAUUAUAGUGCAUUUUAAAAUAAGUCCUUUCAACUUUAAAUAUUUUAUUUAUACAUUCUUAACUUUCUAAUUAUUUUUGAUGAGCUAAUUUAUUUAACAAAAUAAA